UCGACACCAGGGUCAAACUCAGGUCAAAAGGCAAACGUAAAGCACUCAGGGUGAGAAAGCCGACGAAGAUGAUGACGUCAACGCGGAUACACUGUUUGAUUGAAGAUGACGAGAUAGUGUUAAUGCCAAGAUGCCAUGAUGCUCUCUCAGUUGCUAUUGUCGAGAAAACUCGAUAUUCAGUGCUGGUUUUAUUUUGGGUUAUGCUCUCUCCGCUGAUCUCCUCGGCAAACCCGACUUUCGCCUCCCAAACAUACGCCAUCAAAAAUGGCUACCACUGCUAAGACGGUGUUUGCGGUGGCUCCCCUCAUACCGAUCAUUGCUGAUACUGGUAUAUGUUGCCUUGAAAACAAAUUGAUUUAAUAUGUUUAAAGUUUUUGGGUAUUUAUUAGCUUGGUAAUAUAAUUAUUUCUGAUUAUGGAUAAUCAGCAUGUAUUAAAAAUGUUAAAAAAGAAGAAGAAGAAGAAGAUACAAGUGAUUAAUUAAAUUAUCCAAAGCAAUAUUACAUUUACCCAUUUAUUAUCAUCUAA